CGAUCGAUUAAACUCUCUGGAUGGCUCUGCCCCGCUGCCUCGUCCACUCGUUUUCCUCGUUUCGCAUCCCGCCACCCAGCUCCAGGCGAUCCCGCAACGCCUGGAAAUGGAGCUGCUCGCUUGCUUCGAACUUCACUCUCGACUACGAGGCAGCUCAUUCAUGAUCGAAUCUUCCUGACACUUUCAUCAGUCAGCAGCGAUGGAUAAGCUUCUUUGGACACUUGGAUUGUCAUCAAAAGCUAUAGUGGAGCGGGAAACAAAAUGUAGAAAAUUCCUCUUGGCACCAAAUUUCAUGAAUCGGGAUCGAACCUCGAGUUUUUCCGAUUUAAGAAAAUCUCUACCGAGACACUCCUUUCGCGUGGGCGUACUUUUUGGUGGCGCGAAUUGGGGCACUCGAAAUUUGGACUGAUUUCAAACUCCUGUCGCUGUUAUAUGGAAAAAGCUUCUGCCGUUUUUCCAACUUCUUGUCUUCUCUGAGACAAGUACAUUUAUGUAUGAUGAGUCGCUUCCAGAGAGUGUUUUUCAGCUGUUUUGGAUAACUUUCAAAAUGUAUUUCUUUAAUAAUUAAAUAAUAGUAUUUCAGAGAA